rnacentral:lncRNA from 1 species
GACGAUCGUACCUUGCGCGCGGAAAGCACGCGAGGUGCCAGCAGAACCCGAGGUGUCAGGGUAGGUGACGGGAGGAAGUUCCGCGAUAAUGUCGGAGCGGCGAAUCUGGGAGAGGCGACGGUGGACGUCGAUCAACACGGCAUUGAGGCGCUGAGUCUCGGCCACGGCGACACUAUUGGGAACACCAGUAGGCGACAGCA